rnacentral:rRNA from 1 species
AACGAACGCUGGCGGCAGGCCUAACACAUGCAAGUCGAGCGAGACCUUCGGGUUUAGCGGCGGACGGGUGAGUAACGCGUGGGAAUAUGCCCUUUGGUUCGGAAUAGCCCCGGGAAACUGGGAGUAAUACCGGAUACGGUCUACGGACGAAAGAUUUAUCGCCGAAGGAUUAGCCCGCGUUGGAUUAGGUAGUUGGUGGGGUAAUGGCCUACCAAGCCGACGAUCCAUAGCUGGUUUGAGAGGAUGAUCAGCCACACUGGGACUGAGACACGGCCCAGACUCCUACGGGAGGCAGCAGUGGGGAAUCUUAGACAAUGGGGGAAACCCUGAUCUAGCCAUGCCGCGUGAGCGAUGAAGGCCUUAGGGUUGUAAAGCUCUUUCAGCUGGGAAGAUAAUGACUGUACCAGCAGAAGAAGCCCCGGCUAACUCCGUGCCAGCCGCCGCCGUAACAC